rnacentral:lncRNA from 1 species
ACAUUUUGAUAGAGGAUCUUGUCCCUAUUCAUUGCCUCCCAAACUUGGAGAACAUCAAGCAAAAACAGCGCCUUUCUUUACAUUUUAUUUCAAAAUUUUGAAGACAUGUGCAAGAAAAUAUGUGUAUAUAUAUAUAUAUAUAUAUAUAUACAUUAUAAAUUUAAUAAGUAAGAACCUAAAUAUUAUAUAGAUCAAAGGUUUGAAUCCAAGUGUCAACAAAAUGCUGUGACCCAUUUGCCACACCAUAGUAGAUCAAAAAGUGUUUUUUUUCACUUGGACUUAUCACCCUCAUCACCCUACGGUUACAAAGUUAAACAAAAUAAUUUUGAACCUACCUAAAUUUCGAUGAACAUCUACAAACAUUCAUCCUCCGUUACUGCAUGUCUGACAGCAAGUUCUCCCCAGCAGUGAUUUUGAAAGAGCUAAAGGGAUUAGAAUUCUGCUUUUGAAAGAAAAGCUGGCAACCCCUGAAAUCCACCUCGGCCCUAAUCAUUGGCCGAAUGGUCAAAAAUUACUGUUGCAAGAAAUCUAAGCAUGCGAAGAGGCCGUCGGGGCACGUCAUCACGGCAACAUGUUUUUUUGUCAAUAGUAUGACAAAUUCCCAGUUCCCAGGCAGCAGCAUUGAUUGACUGAUGAAAGUGCUGUGCCAAAUCUGUCAUUUUGAGUUUUUCUGUUCUCUCCCCCUGCACUUACAAUUAAUAAACUGCAUGAUAUCAGCAAGCAUUACAUGUGUUACUCAAUUCCUCAAGCCGAAACGUUAUCUUUGAGCUUCUGAGUUAAUUCAUUCGCAUUGCAUACGUCUGAUGCCAGUAACUUUAAAUAUGGCCCACCAGUGCUGCACCAUUUCUCUUGGGAGGCUUGAUUAGUCCCACUGCAUCAUCUGAAAUGUCAAUUUUGUCGAUGCCUCGGCUAUGAAGAAGUUUAUUCUGCUCAGUCCAGCUUUUCCAUUCGCACAUCCAUUUUCUGGAAACCCUAAAACCUAAAAUCCGUGUUUAGGUCAGAAGAAUCUGCUUUGAAGGUAGCAAAGUGGUUAGUUCCCCAGCUAAUAGUCUUGCCAAAAUCUCCUCAAAAACUCCUUUGAGCUCUUAAGGCAAUUGACCUCAUCUCUAAGCAUGAUCUGUAGUCAGACAAGAUAUUUGCCACAACACUUCCAGACAGGUAAUGUGUGUUUUCAAAACUCACGGCAGCGUUGUCCUGGUCUCUUUCGACAGAAAUUGUUCUAGCAGAAUAGGUCUGUAAUAUGCAGUCACCAAACUGUAAAAUCUUUUAUCCGAAAUACGUAAACUUAAUGUUACACUAGACUUAAGAUUGGGUUAUUAGAUCGGUAAUUCGUCGGUUAAUAAGAAACACGACCUAAAACUGAAUAUUACGAUCAUUCGAUUAAAUCUCAGAAUUUAAUCAUAGAGAUAGCAAACAAGAACACACUGACUCCUCUGUUUAUGCACGCUAAUACUUGUGGAAAUGCCUCCACAAAGAAAAUGCUGAUACAAAGCAAAAGUAAAUGUUUCCUAACAAGACAACCUUGAAUG